rnacentral:rRNA from 4 species
UGAGUAACACGUGGGCAACCUGCCUGUAAGACUGGGAUAACUUCGGGAAACCGAAGCUAAUACCGGAUAGGAUCUUCUCCUUCAUGGGAGAUGAUUGAAAGAUGGUUUCGGCUAUCACUUACAGAUGGGCCCGCGGUGCAUUAGCUAGUUGGUGAGGUAACGGCUCACCAAGGCAACGAUGCAUAGCCGACCUGAGAGGGUGAUCGGCCACACUGGGACUGAGACACGGCCCAGACUCCUACGGGAGGCAGCAGUAGGGAAUCUUCCGCAAUGGACGAAAGUCUGACGGAGCAACGCCGCGUGAGUGAUGAAGGCUUUCGGGUCGUAAAACUCUGUUGUUAGGGAAGAACAAGUACGAGAGUAACUGCUCGUACCUUGACGGUACCUAACCAGAAAGCCACGGCUAACUACGUGCCAGCAGCCGCGGUAAUACGUAGGUGGCAAGCGUUAUCCGGAAUUAUUGGGCGUAAAGCGCGCGCAGGCGGUUUCUUAAGUCUGAUGUGAAAGCCCACGGCUCAACCGUGGAGGGUCAUUGGAAACUGGGGAACUUGAGUGCAGAAGAGAAAAGCGGAAUUCCACGUGUAGCGGUGAAAUGCGUAGAGAUGUGGAGGAACACCAGUGGCGAAGGCGGCUUUUUGGUCUGUAACUGACGCUGAGGCGCGAAAGCGUG